GUAGGUGGCAAGCGUUGUCCGGAAUUUAUUGGGGCGUAAAGCGCGCGCAGGCGGUUCUUUAAGUCUGAUGUGAAAGCCCACGGGCUCAACCGUGGAGGGUCAUUGGAAACUGGAGAACUUGAGUACAGAAGAGGAAAGCGGAAUUCCACGUGUAGCGGUGAAAUGCGUAGAGAUGUGGAGGAACACCAGUGGCGAAGGCGGCUUUCUGGUCUGUAACUGACGCUGAGGCGCGAAAGCGUGGGGAGCAAACAGGAUUAGAUACCCUGGUAGUCCACGCCGUAAACGAUGAGUGCUAAGUGUUAGGGGGUUUCCGCCCCUUAGUGCUGCAGCUAACGCAUUAAGCACUCCGCCUGGGGAGUACGGCCGCAAGGCUG
rnacentral:rRNA from 1 species